UCUGGUGUCAGCCGCCGCGGUAAAACCAGCGCCUCAAGUGGUCAGGAUGAUUAUUGGGCCUAAAGCAUCCGUAGCCGGCUCUGUAAGUUUUCGGUUAAAUCUGUACGCUCAACGUACAGGCUGCCGGGAAUACUGCAGAGCUAGGGAGUGGGAGAGGUAGACGGUACUCGGUAGGAAGGGGUAAAAUCCUUUGAUCUAUUGAUGACCACCUGUGGCGAAGGCGGUCUACCAGAACACGUCCGACGGCGAGGGAUGAAAGCUGGGGGAGCAAACCGGAUUAGAUACCCGGGUAGUCCUAGCUGUAAACUAUGCAAACUCAGUGAUGCAUUGGCUUGUGGCCAAUGCAGUGCUGCAGGGAAGCCGUUAAGUUUGCCGCCUGGGAAGUGCGUACGCAAGUAUGAAACUUAAAG
rnacentral:rRNA from 2 species